rfam:TPA: Bos taurus chromosome 4, whole genome shotgun sequence.
UCCCUGGUGGCUCAGAUGGUAAAGCAUCUGCCUGCAAUGCAGGAGACCCUGGUUCGAUUGCUGGAUUAGGAA